rnacentral:rRNA from 1 species
CAGUCGCCACGGGAAUACGAAGGGGGCUAGCGUUGUUCGGAAUUACUGGGCGUAAAGGGCGCGUAGGCGGCCAUUCAAGUUAGGUGUGAAAGCCCUGGGCUCAACCUAGGAAUUGCAUUUGAUACUGUUUGGCUUGAGUUCGGGAGAGGUGAGUGGAAUUCCCAGUGUAGAGGUGAAAUUCGUAGAUAUUGGGAAGAACACCAGUGGCGAAGGCGGCUCACUGGACCGACACUGACGCUGAGGCGCGAAAGCGUGGAGAGCAAACAGGAUUAGAUACCCCUGUAGUCCCUGUCUCUUAUAC